rnacentral:rRNA from 1 species
GAUGAACGCUAGCGGGAGGCCUAACACAUGCAAGCCGAGCGGUAGAUUACUUUCGGGUAAUUGAGAGCGGCGUGCGGGUGCGGAACACGUGUGCAACCUGCCUUUAUCAGGGGGAUAGCCUUUCGAAAGGAAGAUUAAUACCCCAUAAUAUAUUAUUCGGCAUCGGGUGAUAUUGAAAACUACGGUGGAUAGAGAUGGGCACGCGCAAGAUUAGCUAGUUGGUGAGGUAACGGCUCACCAAGGCGACGAUCUUUAGGGGGCCUGAGAGGGUGAUCCCCCACACUGGUACUGAGACACGGACCAGACUCCUACGGGAGGCAGCAGUGAGGAAUAUUGGACAAUGGGUGGAAGCCUGAUCCAGCCAUCCCGCGUGCAGGAGGACGGCCCUAUGGGUUGUAAACUGCUUUUAUCUGGGGAUAAACCUACUUACGUGUAAGUAGCUGAAGGUACCAGAAGAAUAAGCACCGGCUAACUCCGUGCCAGCAGCCGCGGUAAUACGGAGGGUGCAAGCGUUAUCCGGAUUUAUUGGGUUUAAAGGGUCCGUAGGCGGACUGAUAAGUCAGUGGUGAAAUCCGACAGCUUAACUGUCGAACUGCCAUUGAUACUGUUAGUCUUGAGUAAGGUUGAAGUGGCUGGAAUAAGUAGUGUAGCGGUGAAAUGCAUAGAUAUUACUUAGAACACCAAUUGCGAAGGCAGGUCACUAAGUCUUAACUGACGCUGAUGGACGAAAGCGUGGGGAGCGAACAGG